GGGCCCGCACAAGCGGUGGAGCAUGUGGUUUAAUUCGAUGCAACGCGAAGAACCUUACCAUCCCUUGACAUCCAGAGAAGAGACUAGAGAUAGACUUGUGCCUUCGGGAACUCUGUGACAGGUGCUGCAUGGCUGUCGUCAGCUCGUGUUGUGAAAUGUUGGUUAAGUCCCGCAACGAGCGCAACCCCUAUCCUUAUUUGCCAGCGCGUAAUGGCGGGAACUCUAAGGAGACUGCCGGUGAUAAACCGGAGGAAGGUGGGGACGACGUCAAGUCAUCAUGGCCCUUACGGGAUGGGCUACACACGUGCUACAAUGGCAGGUACAGAGGGCAGCAAUACCGCGAGGUGGAGCGAA
rnacentral:rRNA from 1 species